AUUGAACGCUGGCGGCAUGCUUUACACAUGCAAGUCGAACGGUAACAGGCCGCAAGGUGCUGACGAGUGGCGAACGGGUGAGUAAUGCAUCGGAACGUGCCCAGUCGUGGGGGAUAACGCAGCGAAAGCUGUGCUAAUACCGCAUACGAUCUGUGGAUGAAAGCGGGGGACCGUAAGGCCUCGCGCGAUUGGAGCGGCCGAUGUCAGAUUAGGUAGUUGGUGGGGUAAAGGCUCACCAAGCCGACGAUCUGUAGCUGGUCUGAGAGGACGACCAGCCACACUGGGACUGAGACACGGCCCAGACGCCUACGGGAGGCAGCAGUGGGGAAUUUUGGACAAUGGGCGCAAGCCUGAUCCAGCAAUGCCGCGUGCAGGAAGAAGGCCUUCGGGUUGUAAACUGCUUUUGUACGGAGCGAAAAGGCUCUCUCUAAUACAGGGGGCUCAUGACGGUACCGUAAGAAUAAGCACCGGCUAACUACGUGCCAGCCGCCGCAGUAACAC
rnacentral:rRNA from 1 species